rnacentral:rRNA from 1 species
AACGAACGCUGGCGGCAGGCCUAACACAUGCAAGUCGAGCGCGCCUUCGGGUGAGCGGCGGUCGGGUGAGUAACGCGUGGGAAUAUGCCCUUCUCUACGGAAUAGUCCUGGGAAACUGGGGGUAAUACCGUAUACGCCCUUUGGGGGAAAGAUUUAUCGGGGAAGGAUUAGCCCGCGUUGGAUUAGGUAGUUGGUGGGGUAAUGGCCUACCAAGCCGACGAUCCAUAGCUGGUUUGAGAGGAUGAUCAGCCACACUGGGACUGAGACACGGCCCAGACUCCUACGGGAGGCAGCAGUGGGGAAUCUUAGACAAUGGGGGCAACCCUGAUCUAGCCAUGCCGCGUGAGUGAUGAAGGCCUUAGGGUUGUAAAGCUCUUUCAGCUGGGAAGAUAAUGACGGUACCAGCAGAAGAAGCCCCGGCUAACUCCGUG